rnacentral:rRNA from 1 species
GAUGAACGCUGGCGGCGUGCUUAACACAUGCAAGUCGAACGAAGCACUUUAACUUGAUUUCUUCGGAAAGAUUGUUAUUGUGACUGAGUGGCGGACGGGUGAGUAACGCGGGGGUAACCUGCCUCAUACAGGGGGAUAACAGUUGGAAACGACUGCUAAUACAGCAUAAGCGCACGGUAUCGCAUGAUACAGGGUGAAAAACUCAGGUGGUAUGAGAUGGACCCGCGUCUGAUUAGCUAGUUGGCGGGGUAACGGCCCACCAAGGCAACGAUCAGUAGCCGACCUGAGAGGGUGACCGGCCACAUUGGGACUGAGACACGGCCCAAACUCCUACGGGAGGCAGCAGUGGGGAAUAUUGCACAAUGGGCGAAAGCCUGAUGCAGCGACGCCGCGUGAACGAUGAAGUAUUUCGGUAUGUAAAGUUCUAUCAGCAGGGAAGAAGAACGACGGUACCUGACUAAGAAGCACCGGCUAAAUACGUGCCAGCCGCCGCGGUAA